rnacentral:ncRNA from 1 species
GAGGGUAUGGCCCCUCGCAAUCGGUUUGCAGGAGCGGGUGGCAAACCAUCAUAAGCGGGGCAGAUCAAAAGCCUGUGUCGUGAGCGUUAGCCGGGGCGAUUCAUUCACGUAUCGCCUUGG